CAGCAGUACCUCCUCUUCAGCGGCCCACACAACACUUGAAGCUGCCACGCAGACGGUUUUAAAAGACGCAUUCCAACAGCAGGAGAUCAGACUGUAACGUUCUUCUUUCAGAGUCCAACAUGUGUUCAGUAUCUGAUGACCGGUAUUCCCUUGAACUGAUACCACUCACGAAAGUGAAGAGGGGAGAUCAUCUUGCUGUUGAAAGUAGUGAUGGCAGAUAUUACCACCAUGGUAUAUUCAUCGGAGAUGGAGACGUCAUUGAUUAUGGGGCAGAAAACAAGAAGCUCAUCUCAGGACAAGGAAUGAUUCGUAAAAUGCCACUGAUUAAAUUUGUUGGAGGUGAGAUGGUGUACAGAGUAAAAUACAACAAGGCUCUUGAAAACAAUCCAGAGGAUGUGGUGAAAACAGCUGUCCAGCUGUAUGAAGACCAAACAUGUUGGAGUGUGUACGAUCUGCUGAACAAGAAUUGUGAACAUUUUGCCAGUUUCUGUAAGACAGGGAGAGCUUUCUCUCUUCAAGU